rnacentral:rRNA from 1 species
CGGCGAGUGAAGCGGCAACAGCUCAAAUUUGAAAUCUGGCCCUCGGGUCCGAGUUGUAAUUUGUAGAGGAUGCUUUUGGCGCGGUGCCUUCCGAGUUCCCUGGAACGGGACGCCUUAGAGGGUGAGAGCCCCGUACGGUUGGACACCAAGCCUCUGUAAAGCUCCUUCGACGAGUCGAGUAGUUUGGGAAUGCUGCUCUAAAUGGGAGGUAAAUUUCUUCUAAAGCUAAAUAUUGGCCAGAGACCGAUAGCGCACAAGUAGAGUGAUCGAAAGAUGAAAAGCACUUUGAAAAGAGGGUUAAACAGCACGUGAAAUUGUUGAAAGGGAAGCGUUUGCGACCAGACCUCGCCCCGGCGGAUCAUCCGGCGUUCUCGCCGGUGCACUUCGCCGGGCUGAGGCCAGCAUCGGUUUCCGCGGGGGGACAAAAGCGGGGGGAACGUAGCUCCCUCGGGAGUGUUAUAGCCCCCCGCACAAUACCCUCGCGGGGACCGAGGACCGCGCAAGGAUGCUGGCGUAAUGGUCGUCAACGACCCGUCUUGAAACACGGACCAAGGAGUCGAACAUUUGUGCGAGUGUUUGGGUGUCAAACCCUCACGCGUAAUGAAGGUGAACGUAGGUGAGAGCCCUCGCGGGCGCAUCAUCGACCGAUCCUGAUGUCUUCGGAUGGAUUUGAGUAAGAGCAUAACUGUUCGGACCCGAAAGAUGGUGAACUAUGCGUGGAUAGGGUGAAGCCAGAGGAAACUCUGGUGGAGGCUCGCAGCGGUUCUGACGUGCAAAUCGAUCGUCAAAUCUGCGCAUGGGGGCGAAAG